GAUGAACGCUAGCGGCAGGCCUAACACAUGCAAGUCGAGGGAGAAGCCCUUUCGGGGGCAGACACCGGCGCACGGGUGCGUAACGCGUAUGCAACCUACCUUUCACAGGGGGAUAGCCCGAAGAAAUUUGGAUUAAUACCCCAUAAUAUUAUUGGAUGGCAUCAUUUGAUAAUUAAAACUGCGGUGGUGAAAGAUGGGCAUGCGUCCUAUUAGCUAGUUGGAGUGGUAACGGCACCCCAAGGCUACGAUAGGUAGGGGUCCUGAGAGGGAGAUCCCCCACACUGGUACUGAGACAGGGACCAGACUCCUACGGGAGGCAGCAGUGAGGAAUAUUGGUCAAUGGUCGGAAGACUGAACCAGCCAUGCCGCGUGCAGGAAGAAUGCCUUAUGGGUUGUAAACUGCUUUUAGAUGGGAAGAAUAAGGCGUACGUGUACGUUGAUGACGGUACCAUAUGAAUAAGCAUCGGCUAACUCCGUA
rnacentral:rRNA from 1 species